ACACCGCUGGUGUAGGGGUAACAUAUUACCUUCCCAUCCUUUGGACAGGAAUAGGUAAUGCCGUGGGUUCGAUUCCCGCGCGGUGUA